rnacentral:tRNA from 2 species
UGGGCUGUAGUCUAGCGGUAGGACACGUGACUUUGACUCACGCCGUGGUGGUUCAACUCCACCCAGCCCAGCCA